rnacentral:lncRNA from 1 species
AGAGUUGGUGCUCAUCGUCCUGAUGGUGAAGGAAAGAGCAAGGUAUCUGAGUCAUUUUGGAAGGUCUCUUUUUUGACAAACAAGUGGAGAAAAUAAGCAGAAGGCAUGGGGACUGGAAGUUGUGAGGUACGAUGAGGCUUCUGCUGAUACAGGAAUGAUGUCCUCACCCACUGGGCCAUAGGAGUGGCCUCCCAGGACAAAAGAACAUGGGGAGCCAGCACUGGUAUUUUGAAUCAGUAAAUUGUCACAGUUUUUUAUUGGCUGGACCCAGGAAAGCAUGAAACUGGCUGGAAUUGCAGGAGAUAUUUGAGUUAGACACGUCAGAGGACUUCCUGGCCUGAAGGGCACCAGCAUGAGAGAAUAAAGUUAUUUCUGUCGCUGUCAUACUUGAAGAAAGAGCUUCAUUACUAUGAACUUGCUUGUGGCUGGAGGAAUUGAAGUGGAGACGCUGACUCCCGUGAGCUUGGAGACUGCAG